GAUGAACGCUGGCGGCGUGCCUAAUACAUGCAAGUCGAGCGAACAGACGAGGAGCUUGCUCCUCUGACGUUAGCGGCGGACGGGUGAGUAACACGUGGAUAACCUACCUAUAAGACUGGGAUAACUUCGGGAAACCGGAGCUAAUACCGGAUAAUAUAUUGAACCGCAAGGUUCAAUAGUGAAAGACGGUUUUGCUGUCACUUUUAGAUGGAUCCGCGCCGCAUUAGCUAGUUGGUAAGGUAACGGCUUACCAAGGCAACGAUGCGUAGCCGACCUGAGAGAGUGAUCGGCCACACUGGAACUGAGACACGGUCCAGACUCCUACGGGAGGCAGCAGUAGGGAAUCUUCCGCAAAGGGCGAAAGCCUGACGGAGCAAAGCCGCGUGAGUGAUGAAGGUCUUCGGAUCGUAAAACUCUGUUAUUAGGGAAGAACAAAUGUGUAAGUAACUAUGCACGUCUUGACGGUGCCUAAUCAGAGAGCCGCGGCUAACUACGUG
rnacentral:rRNA from 1 species